UGGGAAGGAAAAGUUGUUGCCAUGGCAACUGCAGAUGCUAUGGCCCAUACUUUAUGGGUGAGGCUCGGGCAUCACGCGCAGGCCCCUGUGCCCUGUGCUGUGCCACAUGCUGUGCUCAGUGGCUGUGCCUGCCUGCUGUGCUGCUGGAAGUGUUACACACCACAGAAAUACUGGAGUAGCCUACUGUGAGAGAAGAAGAUUUCCAGGAGCUGCUGUGGUGGUCCAUGUGGCAAAGGGAUGGCACGAAACUUUGGAGACAAAAUGCAGGAUGGAAAAACAUAUAAAGAAGAAAGGCUCAGCGUAGACCUCAGUGACAUGCUAUUGACUGAAGGCAAGAGAAUGGGAGGUCAAUCCCUCUGACAGGACUUCAAGAAAAUAAUACUCAAGGCCAAUCCACAAAGUAGUAUUCUUGUGCAGCUGUAAUGUAACAAUUAAAAGAUAAGCUGUUUGAAGAUUGAGCAGCCAAGAAAAAUCAAAUUGAGAAAGAACGAAAUGGUCCAGAACAGCAAAACACGAUGAGCCAUGAUACAAA